CCCAGGGUCCCGCUUCGGGGAGCCGAAUGGGUGGGGACGCCAGCCACGUGGGGACGGCCCCAGGGGCCGACGAGCUGGACUCCGACAGGGUGAGGCUGAGGUGCCCGAGGGCCGCCCGCGUGCCCACGUCCUCCUCCCUGCGCCUUCCCUUUCCUGCCUGUGCCCCGCUCCGCGCUCUGUGUCCACCCCCGGAGGAGCUCGGGAAGCCUGGCGGGCGUCUGCGCUCCAGCCUGGGGGCUGCGCGCGCGAGGAUGCUGGGGCUGCCGCGGCUGGACCAGACCUGGACCAGCCCCGGCCCAGCGAAGCCACGCUUGAACCCUUGAGAGGUGAACAGGGCAGGUGCCUGGCGAGGGCCAUCCUGCCGAGCAGGGAGAGCCCAGGCGGCACGCGCGCCCCCAGCCCACGAGCCACCAGGGCGGCACAGGAGGUGCCAGACGCCGACUCAGCCGCGUCGAAUACGUGCUCAACCGAAGAGGUAAAUCGUUCCAGGGACGCUGCCGCGUUCUUUUCAGAAGGCAGGGCACUGGAGCAAUCGCCGUGCUGCCUCGUUUUGCCUGGGCUCUGUAGGUCAUUUACUUUAUUCCGUUGGAUCAUAUGCCAUUGAAACAUGCACCGUGGCAACCCCUGCACGGUUUAUGCUCCUUUGGACUCUCUUCAGGUGGCAACUUGCCCCAUAACAGGGCGGGGACAGAGGGAAGAGCUUAGACGGGGAGCAAACCGAAAGAGCCCACGUCACCUCGGAACUCAUCGCAGGGGAGCCAGGCUCGGUCCCACGGACGGAGCCUGAAGGAUGGCGCCAGCUCCAUCCUUCCGGGAGGACUUGAUUCUACAGCCCGAGGCCCCUCCAAAGACGUUUGGACCAAAGCUGGUGGUGGCAGCACCUCCUACUCCCACCUUGACUGCAACCUGCAUCCUCACCUCCAUGUGACCACGUCCUUGGACUAGAUUCCCUCCAGAUUUCUCCCCAGCGCCAUCCAACCCGUAGCUGCAGCUCCCACCUCUUCACCAGACCCAAUACCACCCCUAGCUCUCAAAAGAAGUUCUACAGGCAAACUUUCCCAAGAAUUCUAGAAACAUAGUAAGUCCCUAGUCCCCCAAAGAAUCGAGGAAAUUUUCUUCAGGUCUUUGGUGGAAAAACUUCACUGCCGUAGUCAAAUCAUUUACUUGCUUCUCAUCUCUCUCCUCUUGCUAGAAAGUUCGUGCCAAGAAAGCAGCACGUCUCUUCUGCUCCACUUCUGUAUCCCUGGGGCCUGGAAGGUGCCUGGCAUAAAGCAGAGCCUCAUACUAUCUGCCGAGGGACAGAGGAACCUUAUCUUGGCUUGGGUCAGGUUCAACAGCCUCAUGCAUUUGAGACCACGCCACCCGUUUGAGACGUGGCCCUCCACACAAAACGCAGCGGUGCGAUGCUGCCUCUGAACUUGGGUGAACUUGAGAGAAUCAGAGGGAAGCUGUCCCCUUAAUUUCCCAUAACAAACAAAGAGACUUUGCUUGUUAACUCGGGCCAUCCAUUAUCAGUGUCGCUGUCCUGCUCUCCUAGGCAGAUGAAAUGCACUUGGCAGACAGGGACGGGCGUCUGUAGAACAUCUGCAGACCUUCCAGCAGGAGUUAAUAAGCCAUACUAAUCAGGUGGACGGAAGCCUAAUCUCCACAUGAAGAAUAGGACAUCUGACAUAUCAUAACGAAGAGUUAAUCUUAUCCAGGUUCAGAGCCAGAAACCUGUCAUAUGAAAUCCCAGCGAAGACCGACAUUCUUUCCAGGUGCCCAGCACACUGAUGGAAAGUGUCCCAGGCUUCAAGCUUCAAGCCUGCAAAUUUAACUCCUACCCUUUCCAACCAUCAGAAGAGGAAAAGCUGCGAGAGAGCUGUGAACAGAGCAGUCACAGCUGCCUGACCUCGAAGGGAGCAGUGGAUCCAAGAAACCAACCACGAGGCAAAAUCUGGGGGUCCACACCCUCCAGUCAUGCACCCCCUACGGAGGUGCUGCUCAGGCUGGAAGCUUGCAAACGAGGAAGUGCACCAGGGGCCAGGUGGCGACUGCCUUGCUCGCCUAACUAGCAUCUAACCAGUACCCACUGCGUGCCAGCUCCGAGCCAGCCACUGGGCAGAGAAAUGGACCCCCGCCCCGGGGGGCUCACGGUCCAGUGGGGAGACACACCUGACACGGGGGUCCCCCCUACUCUGAGCUCUGGGGGUGUCAGGGUGCUUCCCACCUGCCUGCCUGAACUUCCUGUCCCAGCCCGUCACCUGCCAGCCCGCGGUGGGCAAGCCUCCAGCUGCCGUGUCACCUGACUGCUUCUCGGGACGCCUCCUGGUCUUCAGGCUUCCCUAGGGCCCCGGCCAGAAGAGGAGAUGGUCCCCGUGUCACGGCCCAGAUGGCCCUGUUGGCGGUCCUCCCCGACCCUUGGUGGCUGAGAUCCGCAAAGCUGGGACUAAAUGGAGAGGGAAACUGUUACAGAGAAAGAGGAAUCAGGCAAGAGGGAGAGGAUGACGCGUCACGGCCGUUGCCAGGAGCAGCAGUGAUGGCCGGUCGCCAAGUGUCACACGGGAUCAGGGUGGGCAGGACGCUGCACGCGGACCCGCACAACCCCCGAGGCUGCCAACCAGACAGCAGCGCGCAGUGUGGCCGCAAGCCCGGCCUGGGCCCAGGAACAAAGGCAGGAGUGUGACAAAUGGACAGAGCCCUCUGCCUAAGCCAGGUUGGAGCCGUAGUUAGAAAACAGAAAGUUUCGCAUUAUUUAAGCCUGGCCACCGCACAUGCCGAGACCUGCGUCACUUCGAACUGCAGCUUGAAGGGGUCAAACGGGGACUUCUUUAGAGCGACUGAAGUUUCUCGCUGUUACACUUUAAACACAGUCUCGCCAGGUGUCCUGGGAGCAGGACGAAUUAAGAUACUCUCGGCCAGUGAAUGAAAUCCAGGGUUUGGAAUCCGAAGAGACAGAAGCCAGAUCAGCGUCAGGCAGCUGGACGGGCAGAAAAUUGUCCCCUUUCUGGUGUUUUCUUUUCAUCCACAGACUUUCUUACAUGUCCUCAGGCAUCUGUCACUUCCAGGGACCAUGAGGCUUGGCGGGAGAGAUGCAGUCCUUGACGCCAGGUUCUGAAGAUCAGGGAACAUGCGUUCAUUGCUGUUGUUUUGAAAACCAGCUGAGCUUCUGUGCGGCUCGGCCCCCCUGGGUGCUGGCUGGAGGGGACUCGGGGGGCCGGAGUGUAUGCUCAGCCUGUGAUCCCGCAGCCCUGCCUGCCCAGCCCCAGGGACCAGUUCCCUCGCAGUCGGGGGACAUUCCUGGGGGGAUUCCUGAAUUUUCCUGGGCAUCUACAACUGCAGUCACCCGCUCACAAUUGUCAUUUCUGCUCCCACCUUGUAAACUUUCGCAGCCAAGCAUUUGCCAGAGCCCUGGGGCCACCUGCGUUAACCUCCAGCGAAGCAAGGACAUGCAGGGAGGCAUGGACUUGAGGUUCUAGUUUACAUGUUUUCGAAUAAAUGUUAAAACAAAAACGUAACUACUGAAAUUAAAAAUGCUUCUCUGUGCAACACCAAGGUCACCCAGCUUGCCUUGAAUGGACCGUCAUCACACUUUGGGACGAAGAAAGUAAACAUGACGGAACCGUGACCAGAGCCAAAUAAAUUUCAUCUUUGUUAACAAAAUAAAUUGACUAGGACUUUAAAGAAUUAUUUCCUCAUGGCAUUCCUUUAAAACUUAAUUUCUGGGGCUUCCCUGGU